UACGAAGGGGGCUAGCGUUGCUCGGAAUUACUGGGCGUAAAGGGAGCGUAGGCGGACAUUUAAGUCAGAGGUGAAAUCCCGGAGCUUAACUUCGGAACUGCCUUUGAUACUGGGUGUCUUGAGUGUGAGAGAGGUAUGUGGAACUCCGAGUGUAGAGGUGAAAUUCGUAGAUAUUCGGAAGAACACCAGUGGCGAAGGCGACAUACUGGCUCAUUACUGACGCUGGAGGCUCGAAAAGCGUGGGGAGCAAACAGG
rnacentral:rRNA from 1 species